rnacentral:rRNA from 1 species
UAAUACGUAGGAUCCAAGCGUUGUCCGGAUUUACUGGGUAUAAAGGGUGCGCAGGCGGGCUUGUGCGUCAGAGGUUAAAUACUUCGGCUCAACCGAAGAAAUGCCUUUGAUACGGCAAGUCUUGAGUGCGAGAGAGGAUGGUAGAAUUCCUGGUGUAGCGGUGAAAUGCGUAGAUAUCAGGAGGAAUACCAGUGGCGAAGGCGGCCAUCUGGCUCGCAACUGACGCUUAGGCACGAAAGCGUGGGGAGCAAACAGG